rnacentral:rRNA from 1 species
CAUCCUUGAUCGGGAGGUCCGGGUAAUCUUUUGAAACUUCAUCGUGCUGGGGAUAGUCCCUUGCAAUUUUUGGACUUUAACGAGGAAUUCCUAGUAAGCGUGAGUCAUCAACUCGCGUUGAUUACGUCCCUGCCCUUUGUACACACCGCCCGUCGCUACUACCGAUUGAAUGGCUUAGUGAAUCCUUCGGAUUGGCUUUCUUUUCUGGCAACAGAAUUUGAUCGCUGAAAAGUUGGGCAAACUUGGUCAUUUAGAGGAAGUAAAAGUCGUAACAAGGUUUCCGUAGGUGAACCUGCGGAAGGAUCAUUAAAAAAUGAGACCUUUUUGAAAGGUCUAUUAAUAAUCCUACCCUUUGUGAAUUUGUUGUUUGAAAUAAUUUUUUUUCCAAAAAAAUUAUUGAAUGUCUUUCCCUGUUUGGUGGAGCUUGUAAAAGUGAAACCAUCAGGGGAAUGGCAAACAAUAAUUAUUUUGAAAAAAGACCUUUUUUUAAAAUUAAACAUUUUGUAUUCAUUUGUCUAAAAUUAUUUUUAUAAUAUAAAAACAACUUUUGACAAUGGAUCUCUUGGUUCUCGCAACGAUGAAGAACGCAGCAAAAUGCGAUAAGUAAUGUGAAUUGCAGAAUACGUGAAUCAUCGAAUCUUCGAACGCAUAUUGCAC